GGGGUGUAUCAUUGGCUUCCUGGAACCAAGUGUAAAAAGAUUAGUGCCCAAUAAUCAGCUCCCUGUGACAUCAGAGAAAUAAGUACCCUCAAUGAGGUUGCAUCAGCUCUGUCCUGAAUAUGGCAGUGGCAUGGGGGUUUUCUCAGCCUGUUCAUUGACCUGAUUCCUAAGAAAGAAUGAGUUGGACUGUAGUCCCAUUUUCCUGCUGUUGUAUAUCUAGAGAACCCCUGCUGCCGAAUAAGCAAGAUCAGAAAACUGGAACUCCAAGUGGCAACAUAGCAACCAAUUAGCUGGGCUUUGUGCAUCUAAAGGAGAGUGUCAUCUUUUACUUUGUGACAGUGGUUCUACAGCAAGAAAUAUGAGAGAGAUAAAAUGAUCUGCUGUCCAAGGCUGAAUUCACCACCAAGAGUUAAACUGCAGACCCUUCACUCUGAGGCCUCUCCUCUCAUCAGCUGGCAGUGAGCCAGUGAAAACAGAUCUGAGGCUAGCCACGAAGAGGAGCCCUUCAAAGAUAGCCUUCAAGCCGUGGGAUGCUUCAGAUUGUUUGUUCCCUGACUGACUCCUGGGGCAUGGAUAUUACUGCCCUAGCCCCUGCUGAGUGCUGCAACAGUUCAUAGCUGCUGCAGUUUAUAGCAGUGUGUGAAGCAAUGCAAAAAUAGACUCUGCUGCCAAGCUGCCUGGAUCAGAGGUGGAAUCAAAGUGUGUCUACAAUGAGUUUGUAUGUAACAGUCCAUCUGCACGUUUAUCAGCCAUCGACUGGUGCUUAGAAGCUUAAGGAGAAUCCUGCGUUAUUAUGGAAUACACAAAGCUGCUCUGAUAUGUACGUGCAGUCUCCUUUAAAUGUCCUGACACCACACAUUGAGAGGAACACAGUAAAUGCAGUCUUCUUUUUUACAA